UACAGAGACUGCAAGCGUUAUUCGGAUUCACUGGGCGUAAAGGGUGCGCAGGCGGCCAUGUGUGUUAGGCGUGAAAGCCUGAGGCUUAACCUCAGAAUUGCACCUAAAACUACAUGGCUAGAGCAUUGGAGAGGGUAGCGGAAUUCACGGUGUAGCAGUGAAAUGCGUAGAUAUCGUGAGGAACACCAGAGGCGAAGGCGGCUACCUGGACAAUUGCUGACGCUCAGGCACGAAAGCUAGGGGAGCAAACGGG
rnacentral:rRNA from 1 species